AAGUAUGGAAAGAUUGAUGUUGUUGUUUCCAAUGCUGCUGCAAAUCCUUCUGUUGAGUCCAUCCUUAAAACACAAGAGUCGGUCCUUGACAAGUUAUGGGAGAUAAAUGUCAAAGCCUCUAUACUUCUUCUGAAGGAUGCAGCUCCUCACAUGCAAAAGGGUUCAUCUGUUGUUAUCAUUUCAUCAAUUUCUGGUUAUCACCCACCAGCUGCUAUGGCUAUGUAUGGGGUGACCAAAACAGCCCUUUUUGGACUUACCAAAGCCCUUGCUGCUGAGAUGGCCCCUAACACUCGUGUAAACUGUAUUGCUCCUGGUUUUGUACCGACUAAUUUUGCUUCAUUCAUUACCAAUAAUGCUGCUAUGAGAAAGGAGCUGGAACAGCAGACAUUACUUAGAAGGCUUGUUUCUGGCGGAAUGCCAUCGAGACUGUAG